AACGCGAAGAACCUUACCAAGGUUUGACAUGGCCGGAAAAGCAUCAGAGAUGGUGUGUCCUUCGGGGUCGGUCACAGGUGGUGCAUGGCUGUCGUCAGCUCGUGUCGUGAGAUGUUGGGUUAAGUCCCGCAACGAGCGCAACCCUCGUCCUAUGUUGCCAGCGGGUCAUGCCGGGGACUCAUGGGAGACUGCCGGGGUCAACUCGGAGGAAGGUGGGGAUGACGUCAAGUCAUCAUGCCCCUUAUGUCUUGGGCUGCAAACAUGCUACAAUGGCCGGUACAAAGGGCUGCGAACUCGCGAGGGUAAGCGAAUCCCAUAAAGCCGGUCUCAGUUCGGAUCGGGGUCUGCAACUCGGCCCCGUGAAGCUGGAGUCGCUAGUAAUCGCGGAUCAGCAACGCCGCGGUGAAUACGUUCCCGGGCCUUGUACACACCGCUAGUC
rnacentral:rRNA from 1 species